ensembl:misc_RNA
AAAAUGUGUUCUUUAGCUCUUUUGUAAUUAAAUCUGGAUGUACCUCAAAAGACUCUUAAGACUGUGGUGAUAAGAGGCUUUUCUC